CCUACGGGAGACAGCAGUGAGGAAUAUUGGUCAAUGGCCGGAAGCCUGAACCAGCCAAGUCGCGUGAGGGAGGAAGGCGCUACGGGUCGUAGACCUCUUUUGCCGGGGGACAAAGGGCCGGACGUGUCCCGUCCUGAGGGUACCCCGAGAAAAAGCAUCGGCAAACUCCGUGCCGGCAGCCGCGGUAAUACGGAGGAUGCGAGCGUUAUCCGGAUUUAUUGGGUUUAAAGGGUGCGCGGGCGGGCCUUUAAGUCGGCGGUGAAAUAUUGGGGCUCAACCCCGCCGCGCCGUUGGAACUGGGGGCCUUGAGUGCGGGGGAGGAAGGCGGAAUGCGCGGUGUAGCGGUGAAAUGCAUAGAUAUCACGCAGAACCCCGAUUGCGAAGGCAGCGUGCCGGGCCGCCACUGACGCUGAGGCACGAAAGCGCGGGGAUCGAACAGGAUUAGAUACCCUUGUAGUC
rnacentral:rRNA from 1 species